rnacentral:rRNA from 1 species
GACGAACGCUGGCGGCGUGCUUAACACAUGCAAGUCGAACGGAAAGGCCCUGCUUUUGUGGGGUGCUCGAGUGGCGAACGGGUGAGUAACACGUGAGUAACCUGCCCUUGACUUUGGGAUAACUUCAGGAAACUGGGGCUAAUACCGGAUAGGAGCUCCUGCUGCAUGGUGGGGGUUGGAACGUUUCGGCGGUUGGGGAUGGACUCGCGGCUUAUCAGCUUGUUGGUGGGGUAGUGGCUUACCAAGGCGUUGACGGGUAGCCGGCCUGAGAGGGUGACCGGCCACAUUGGGACUGCGAUACGGCCCAGACUCCUACGGGAGGCAGCAGUGGGGAAUAUUGCACAGUGGGCGGAAGCCUGAUGCAGCAACGCCGCGUGCGGGAUGACGGCCUUCGGGUUGUAAACCGCUUUCGCCUGUGACGAAGCGUGAGUGACGGUAAUGGGUAAAGAAGCACCGGCUAACUACGUG